UUUUGGACAAUGGGGGCAACCCUGAUCCAGCCAUCCCGCGUGUGCGAUGAAGGCCUUCGGGUUGUAAAGCACUUUUGGCAGGGAAGAAACAGCUCGGGCGAAUAACCCGGGUCAAUGACGGUACCUGCAGAAUAAGCACCGGCUAACUACGUGCCAGCAGCCGCGGUAAUACGUAGGGUGCAAGCGUUAAUCGGAAUUACUGGGCGUAAAGCGUGCGCAGGCGGUUCGGAAAGAGAGGUGUGAAAUCCCAGGGCUCAACCCUGGAACUGCACUUCUAACUACCGGGCUAGAGUACGUCAGAGGGGGGUAGAAUUCCACGUGUAGCAGUGAAAUGCGUAGAGAUGUGGAGGAAUACCGAUGGCGAAGGCAGCCCCCUGGGAUGAUACUGACGCUCAUGCACGAAAGCGUGGGGAGCAAACAGG
rnacentral:rRNA from 1 species